ACUGAUUAUAAUGGAGACAAUCUUUUAAUCAAUACAAUUAAGGUAGAUGAAAUGCAGUCUUUAUUGAAGGAUAUGAAGAAACAAUCUAAUGUUCAGUUGGAGUAAUGACCUUCGUUUGCAUUGGACCACGGAAGUCUCGUUAUCGCCAAAAAUCUCGCAUCUUUGGAUAUUCUUUCGUUAUUAUGGUAACGGAGAUUUAUAUCGAUAAAUUCCGAGUGAUCCAAUGUUACAGUGGUUCAUCUUUAGACUCCAAUAGAUUAUUUUUUAUAAAACAUUGAAUUUUAAGAGGCAUUGUUUUAACGAUAAAAAUUAAACGAGAAUUGAUUCAACGUUUAAAACAAAACUUUAACAAUAAGUCUCGAAAGUGUAUGCUUGGAAUGUACGAAUGUAUUAGUUAAUAGUGGCACACAUUGUUUAAAGGUUUAACAAUGACGAAAUGAGACUAUGUGUUUCAAUAACAACAUUGAUGGUUCUUGAGAUGUUAUUUAUAGCGAAAUCAAAGGCAUGUUCGAAAUGUUCUUGUUUAGCCAAAAACUUUGAGUUCACUGCAUCAUAUAUCAAAACUGCCUUAGUAUCCUCCGAGUACACAGAAAAUACAACAGGGUUGAUGAAGUGUACAUGGGUUGUCAAAGCUCAGAAUAGUAGCCAUUCCGUCACAUUCAAAAUGAGUCAAGUUCUU